GUCCUACCUUAACCUCACGUGGUCUGGCAGGCCCGCUUGCCCCAUAGGCUCACAGCUCUACUGGCAGUGGACGUGUUGAUGUCCCCUGCCUUCCAGUGUGUAGCGUGCUUCCUGAACUUGCUGAAGAAGGGCCAGUUCUCUUCUCUGCCCAAGACAUCCUUGCGUCUGCUGCAAGAGUGCUCUAAACGCAGAGAAGCCCUGGUGAGACGUCAUCAACUUCAGGCUACAGAGGGAUGUCAAGGUAGGUUACUUUUUAGUCCCCUAAAACUAACUUUUCUCAUCUGGGUCUGAAGUAACUCAAGGAACAGAAUAGCCUUGCUUCUCUCUCUGGACUGUGGUCCCAGCCCUACCCCUGCAAAUCCUCUGUAGCUCGGUGAAGGCAGAGCAGGGUGAGUAAGAGCAGAAUCAAGUGGAGGGGUGUCUGUAAGCUUGGGAGGUCACAGACCCAUGCAGACGGAUUGGGUGUUGUGCCUCGGUCAGGAUGAUGCUUUGCAGGCACUAUUUCCGGACGCGAAGUGAUAGCUCCAAUAAUAUUUAAAUAAGUUUGGAGAGCGGAGACCAGAUCCUUAGGCUCUGGUGUGUGUGGAGCAGGACAGUAGGAGGCUCAAAAAUGGAUUUAAGAUGUAUUUCUUUUGCCUUGUUUCUGGUUCUGUCUGGCUCACCUGUAAGUUAGAGCAGCCACCAGGCUUCCACAGUUCAGAGUUUGUACGAGUGCUGGCUAACCCUGAGGGACCUGGGUAUCACCAAGCUGCAGUGUGCUCAGUCACGUCCCAGUGACGCUGCCGUGAGCCCCACCACAGCUUUCACGUGUGCGUUCCUGGCUGCCUGGACACUAUGAGAGCUGCAUUUGCCAUGGGCCUGCAGUGGCGAGGGAGUAAGGUGCAGCCGCUAGGCUUGAAAUACUAUGGGAAGACGGUUUGCCAAACGUAACUUGGAUCUCAGCGUUGCUGGUGUUGUCAAGAUCUCCCUGCCUUGACGCGUCCUCAGAUGGGCAGCAGAGAUUUCCCUCUUUUUUCCUUCCUUUUUUUCUUUGUUCUGUUGCUCUGUUAAGCUCUCUUCACUGCACUCAACCUAAUGAUCCCUUUCUCACUUUAUGUCCUUCAAACUCUUCCCUUUAAACACUUAGUCAUCACUUAGCUAAACUACUACAUACAAAUAUAGCUCUUUUGAUCUUCCUACAUAAAUCAAUACCUGCUGCCCUUUAAUCUUUGUAGUGGCUUUCUCUGAACUUCCUCCAGCUUAGUAAUCCAUGUGAGUUGUGAGUAAUCCAUGUGAGUUGAGAAAGUGAGUU
rnacentral:lncRNA from 1 species